GUUUCAAAAUAUGAAUUUUGGGAGUACACAAACGCAUCCACUAUUGCUACCCCUUCACUUUGAGAGUAUCUGCCAAACCAAGAUUACUGAAGCUGCAAUUCUCAAGAACAUGGCCUGCUCAAGAUUACCUUUUCAGGGAGAAAAAAAAAAAACGACUAAAAUUGGAAGAGCAGAGAAGGAACUGCCUUGAGUUGGGUUGAGACCCCACAAACUCUGAGAUGACAGCAAAGGAGCCAUGGAAAACAAGGAAACUAUCCCACUCUCCAAGCCCCUGCCAGAGAACUUUAACUAAAAACAGUCUCUUUAGAACAACUACUGACAAUACCACCCUGGACUGAAAACCACUGACCUUCAGGAAAACUCAGUAAUAAAAUUCCUCAAGUUAAAGUCCCAGAAAUCUUGACUUGCUAAGGAGCUGGACUGAUUUCUUUUUGUGGAGAAUGCAAAUCACAUUAUUGAUCAUGUUAUGUUACCCUUUUCACUGAAGCUGCCAGUCAAAAUGUUUUGCUUAUAGUCAAAAUUUUAGCUAAGUUUCUAUGAAGUAAGGCCAGGUGAUCUGUGUAUCUUCACAGCAAUUUUGCCUGUUGAUCAUCUAUUCUCUCUAAAUUUCUCUAAUCCUUAUUUUCAACUAAUUGCCCUUUCUCAUUUUGUUGUGGGAAAACCAAGUGGCAAACAAAUAACUUACCUGGGACUCAAUCAUUUUCUGUUUCUCUUUGGAAAGCAGUUGGGGGCGGGGUGGGGUGCAGAAGAGUCUUCGGAGAUCAAGCUGAGUUAACCACUCUUCAACAGCUGGAUGUGACAAUGUGUUGCUUGUUAAUUCAUUGAUGACUUGUGUUUCUCAUCUGACUCGGUAAUUCCAUUUCCGGAACUUCGUCCUAAGGUAAUAAUCAUGGAUAUGUGCAGAUAUUUAACCACAGAAACCUUCAACACAGUUUUGUCUUUAACACCAUAUUAUUGAAAAUAACACAAAUGCCCAGCACUAAAGACUGCUGCAAAGGCAGGCAGCCCUUAAAAGCAACACUCCAGAUGAUUCAAAAAGGUUCAGGAAACACCACCAGCAAAUGUAAAGUAUGGUCUUGUCUGGCUCUUUACUUGAAUAAACAAAAGAAAUUUUUGAGAUAA